rnacentral:piRNA from 1 species
UCAACUCUUAUGAGAAUUCUGUUUGGGGA